UCCGGUUUGGCACCGGCAGUCUCUCACGAGUCCCCACCAUUACGUGCUGGCAACAUGAGACAAGGGUUGCGCUCGUUGCGGGACUUAACCCAACACCUCACGACACGAGCUGACGACAGCCAUGCACCACCUGCACACAGGCCACAAGGGAAUACCUAUCUCUAGGCACGUCCUGUGCAUGUCAAACCCAGGUAAGGUGGGGAUGACGUGUAACCGAAUCU
rnacentral:misc_RNA from 1 species